ACAGAGCAAGAUACUGCCAGAAAAGAUCUUACUUCUUGGUGAGCUUCCAGGGAUACUAUCAUCUCUCAAAGAGGCCCUGGAGUCCAUGAAACGAGGUUCAUUCAGCUCAAGCCCAAGAUCAUCUGAGCUGUCUUCCUGAAACCUCAGACAUGAUUUCCCUCGGUGGUUCUGAUGUCCCCAAAAGAGUCUAUGGCAGACUGAACAAGUCACGAACUUCUCUUUUUACUCACGACUUGGCCACUUUACUUUUUGCUAUUGUAUUUCACUUUGUUUGACUUAAAGGAUUAGUUCACUUAAAAAAAAAAAAAAACUUUUGCUGAUAACUUACCCACCC